rnacentral:rRNA from 1 species
AACGAACGCUGGCGGCAGGCUUAACACAUGCAAGUCGAACGCCCCGCAAGGGGAGUGGCAGACGGGUGAGUAACGCGUGGGAAUCUACCCAACUCUACGGAAUAACUCAGGGAAACUUGUGCUAAUACCGUAUACGCUCUUCGGGGGAAAGAUUUAUCGGAGUUGGAUGAGCCCGCGUUGGAUUAGCUAGUUGGUGGGGUAAAGGCCUACCAAGGCGACGAUCCAUAGCUGGUCUGAGAGGAUGAUCAGCCACAUUGGGACUGAGACACGGCCCAAACUCCUACGGGAGGCAGCAGUGGGGAAUAUUGGACAAUGGGCGCAAGCCUGAUCCAGCCAUGCCGCGUGAGUGAUGAAGGCCCUAGGGUUGUACAGCUCUUUCACCGGUGAAGAUAAUGACGGUAACCGGAGAAGAAGCCCCGGCUAACUUCGUGCCAGCAGCCGCCGUAAUAC